UCUCAAACUAGGACCGAGUCUUAGUUGCGACCGCCGCACGGAUUGUGUACGUUCAGCUUGCGCUUUCACCUCGUUAGGUACUCAUCUCACCGUUUGCCCACUCAUUGCGCACCCGCUGGAUGGAAGCUCACCCCCUAUUGGAAGGCUUUCCUCCCGGUUAUGGCGUACUGUAGGGCACAAACCUAUGUGCCUUUAGUUUCGGCCCCUAGCGUUCUGGACCGCGAACCUCUCCCCGGGCGCAGGCUAAUCGAUCAACCGCUCCAUUACCGAGUGGUUCCGAGGCUAGCCAUAGGCCGGACUCUCCCGCCUGCCUGUGUGACCUUGACUCUGUGCCAGGUCUGAGGAUGCCCUCCGUCGUCACCCCUUAACAAGUGUUACCCGCGUUCGGACUACUGCGUUGCGGCGCACCUCCUACUUCUGGAAGCCCAGCAUUUGAGGAAAGCUGGCUCUACUUAAGGGCGGCUGGGUUGUGCAGCCGCCCCACUGUCAUAGCUCCCUUCUUCGGGGCCGAUUGAGACACGGUCGUCGGCGCCAUUAUGUCCCCCCCGUUCGCAACAAGCCUUAAUGACCCGCAUUUCCCAAACAUCCACCGAGCGAUUCAGUCUGCACUUUAGGGAGUCGAAUUGACCCCUUGACGCAGACUAUGACCUCUCGAACUCACGUCCUCUCCUUGCGCCUUAAGGUCCACAUCGCCACUUUACGCAUCUAUAGACCUCCUUGUGGCCACCGCUUCCGCCGCAAGACCUGACGUUGACUGUGACUCUUUGCUUUCGGUCCCCUCGUUUGCCCUAAUCUAUGGGGCCAUCAGGACCGGGAUUUGCUACUUACGAACCACACCGCCCAUAGCUAGGGACGGCACGGCCUCAAUUGCGCUAUUCGUAAGGCGGACCCCUCAUGCCAGCGUUCCGACUUUGAGUUUCCUUAACUGCCCCCGGGCGUGUUCGCCACCUCGUACACCAAGUUAAGCUGCGUUGCGCUUCUUGGAAUGGACCCGAGCUUUACGUCUACUGGUAGCCACUUUCGGCUGAAGGCGUUCCUGCAGACAUAUCCACGACGUACCGACAGCAGUCGAGCACAGCACUCUACAACCCAAUUCAGGGCGUUGCUCGCGUUGGGAACAAGAGACAACGGUAGUCCAGUUCGACCCGUGAGACUCCUCUGACGGCCACUGUUUGGCCUCCUUCCACCCCUACUGCAGUUCAGUCGUACCGGAAAUACAGGUCCCGAUGUGUGCACGAUGUUACCGGCCAUGUUUGGCAGCGCUAGGGCGCUCCCCCUCGAUUAGCCUCUUUCGGCCAGAGUCAAGCCUAACAUCCGACGUUGAGCGGACGUACUUCAACCUUAGCGAUCAUUAGCGCCUAGUCGUACGGCGCCACUUAUGCAAGGGCCCGGAACAUGUGUGGCGGGCAGUGUAGUGCUUUCGACCGACAUGAUCUUUAAUGGCGCGAUUGGGCGUUCCCUCCGUCCAUGAAUUCCAUACCAGUCACUAACCCCACUUCAGCAUUGUUCCAU
rnacentral:rRNA from 1 species